rnacentral:rRNA from 1 species
CACUUGUUAUUGAAGUAUACGUUUGGGUACAUGGCCCGUACCCCAAACCGACACAGGUGGUCAGGUAGAGAAUACUAAGGCGAUCGAGAGAACUGUGGUUAAGGAACUCGGCAAAAUGCCCCCGUAACUUCGGGAGAAGGGGGACCAGUCCUGGUGGCACAUUUACUGUCUGAGCUGGGGUUGGUCGCAGAGACCAGAGAGAAGCGACUGUUUACUAAAAACACAGGUCCGUGCGAAGUCGUAAGACGAUGUAUACGGACUGACGCCUGCCCGGUGCUGGAAGGUUAAGAGGACCGGUCAGCCACUUCGGUGGCGAAGCUGAGAAUUUAAGCCCCAGUAAACGGCGGUGGUAACUAUAACCAUCCUAAGGUAGCGAAAUUCCUUGUCGGGUAAGUUCCGACCUGCACGAAUGGCGUAACGACUUCUCUGCUGUCUCAACCACAGACUCGGCGAAAUUGCAGUACGAGUAAAGAUGCUCGUUACGCGCGGCAGGACGAAAAGACCCCGGGACCUUCACUAUAGCUUGGUAUUGGUGUUCGGUUCGGUUUGUGUAGGAUAGGUGGGAGACUGUGAAACUCGCACGCCAGUGUGGGUGGAGUCAUUGUUGAAAUACCACUCUGACCGUAUUGGACAUCUAACCUCGGACCAUGAUCUGGUUCAGGGACAGUGCCUGGUGGGUAGUUUAACUGGGGCGGUUGCCUCCCAAAAAGUAACGGAGGCGCCCAAAGGUUCCCUCAGCCUGGUUGGCAAUCAGGUGUUGAGUGUAAGUGCACAAGGGAGCUUGACUGUGAGACGUACAUGUCGAGCAGGGACGAAAGUCGGGACUAGUGAUCCGGCACCGGCAAGUGGAAGCGGUGUCGCUCAACGGAUAAAAGGUACCCCGGGGAUAACAGGCUGAUCUUCCCCAAGAGUCCAUAUCGACGGGAUGGUUUGGCACCUCGAUGUCGGCUCGUCGCAUCCUGGGGCUGGAGUAGGUCCCAAGGGUUGGGCUGUUCGCCCAUUAAAGCGGCACGCGAGCUGGGUUUAGAACGUCGUGAGACAGUUCGGUCUCUAUCCGCCGCGCGCGUAAGAAACUUGAGGAAACCUGUCCCUAGUACGAGAGGACCGGGACGGACGAACCUCUGGUGUGCCAGUUGUUCCACCAGGAGCACCGCUGGUUAGCUACGUUCGGAAGGGAUAACCGCUGAAAGCAUCUAAGCGGGAAGCCUGUUCCAAGAUGAGGUUUCUCACCACCUAGCGUGGUUAAGGCCCCCCACAGACCAUGGGGUUGAUAGGCCAGAACUGUAAGCACAGCAAUGUGUUCAGGUGACUGGUACUAAUCGGCCGAGGACUUACC